UACGGAGGAGGCAAGCGUUAUCCGGAAUUAUUGGGCGUAAAGCGUCCGUAGAUGGUCGCUUCAAAUCUGCGGUCAAAGACUGGGGCUUAACCCUGGAAAGGCCGUGGAAACUGAAUAGCUAGAGUGCAGUAGGGGUAGAGGGAAUUCCCGGUGUAGCGGUGAAAUGCGUAGAGCUCGGGAAGAACAUCGGUGGCGAAAGCGCUCUGCUGGACUGCAACUGACACUCAGGGACGAAAGCUAGGGGAGCGAAUGGG
rnacentral:rRNA from 1 species